GGCUACCCAUCCGCAGACACUGUGAUUCAGGACCUUUCUGCACCAUUUCCAUUCUGUUAAUCACUUUAAUUCCUAUUUAUAUCCACUGAAUAAACUGGAAUUCAUCUG
ensembl:antisense_RNA anr-17 ncRNA